GGAUAUUGCCAGAGAGAUUGGGAGACAGCAGCUUCAGUGGCUGGAGAAGUUGGACCAGGUCAUUGUUGCUGAUGAUGGGCAGGUACUGGACAGUUCUGGCAAGGCUGUGCGGUGCUUCCAACAUGGGCACAAGAUAAUGGGAGCACUUUACACCUGGGAGGAGCAGCCGAGGUGCUGAGGUCAAAGGGCUGGAACAGGGUAACCAGAUGUCCUAACUGCAAAGGAGGACAAGGCUCCUCAAGAAAAUGUUGGUCAUGACAAAAUAUAUGAUAAAAACAUUCAGAGAAAUAUAAAUCCAUGCUUCUUAGUCAUGUUGAAAAUGGAGGGUGGUUUGGAAUUUUUACUGGACAUGUCCUGGAAAAGGAGGACCUCUGGGCAGGAGCUGACCCAGCAUAUCUUCACCGAUGGGCACUUCUGCCUUGGGUAAGCAAGAGAGAGUGAUGUCCGAAGGACAGGGUGACCAGAUAAUACUACUAAUUUACUACUAAGGGUGGCUUAGUGGUUAAGACACCAAUUCUGAUGAUUGGAAGGUCGGCAGCUCAAGGCCCAAGUACCGCAUGAUGGGGUGAGUUCCUGUCACUAGUCCCAUCUUCUGCCAACCUAGCAGUUCAAAAGCAUGCAAAUGCAAGUAGAUAAAUAGGUAUCACUUCAGUAGGAAGGUAACAGUACUCAGUGCAGUCAUGCUGGCCAUAUGACUAGUGGAGUCACCUUCGGACAUCACUGGCUCUUCUACUUAGUAACAGAGAUGAGCACAACCUCCUACAGUCAGUUACAACUAGACAUUAGUGUCAAGGGAAAACCUUUACCUUUACACCACUACUCCUACUACUACUAAUAUUUAUUUCUUACCUGUCUCUCCCCAUAGAUCAAGACGAUGUCAUAAUCACAAAGGAGUGCAAGGCACCAUAAAAUGACUGUGUAACUUCUCCACUGUAUUCCACCAGAAUGUAAAAAUAUUGUUAUGGUCACAAGACUUCUGUGAGUAGUGAGAAGUCCUAGGAGCAGCAUUUACCAGGAUUUGUUUUCCCCUGGAAGAGUGGCUGUAUCUCUAUUGCAGAGCAUGACUGAGUGCGUUCACAUCUGUAACGCUGGUGCAGGCUAAACAUACCCAGCUCCCUAAGUCGCUCCUCAUAUGGCAUGGUUUCCAGACCCUUCAUCAUUUUGGUCACCAUUCUCUGGAAACACUCCAUCUUCUCAAACAUCCUUUUUGAAUUAUGGUAUCCAGAACUGAACACAGCAUUCCAGGUGAGGUCUGACCAAAGCAGAAUAAGAGCGAUUCUAUUACUUCCCUUGAUCUAUACUUGUACUGAUGCAGACUAGAAUCACAUUGGCUUUUUUAAAUGCUGCAUCACACUGUUGACUCAUGUUCAACUUGUGGUCUACUACGACUCCUAGAUCCCUUUCAAUGUAAUCUAGUUAAGCCAGAUGUCCACCAUUCUAUAGGAAUACAUUUCAUUUUUUCUGCCUAUGUGCAAUACCGUACAUUUCUCCCUGUUGAAAUUCUUUUUUUUAUUUUUGGUACAGGUUUCUAAUCUAUUAAGGUCAUUUUGUAUUUUGAUCCUGU